AAUAUUGCACAAUGGAGGAAACUCUGAUGCAGCGACGCCGCGUGAACGAUGAAGGCCUUCGGGCCGUAAAGUUCUGUCCUUGGGGACGAUAAUGACGGUACCCAAGGAGGAAGCCCCGGCUAACUACGUGCCAGCAGCCGCGGUAAUACGUAGGGGGCGUGCGUUGCCCGGAAUCAUUGGGCGUAAAGGGGUCGUAGGCGGUCUUUUAAGUAGGAUGUGAAAGGUCCCGGCUCAACCGUGGUAAGCAUUUGAAACUGAAAGACUUGAGUUAAGGAGAGGAAAGUGGAAUUCCUAGUGUAGCGGUGAAAUGCGUAGAUAUUAGGAGGAAUACCAAUGGCGAAGGCGACUUUCUGGACUUAUACUGACGCUGAGGAACGAAAGCGUGGGGAGCAAAC
rnacentral:rRNA from 1 species